rnacentral:rRNA from 1 species
AGACGUCUACAUUAGAUACCCCUGUAGUCCCAGCCGUAAACUAUGCGCGUUAGGUGUAUCGGUGACCACGAGUUACCGAGGUGCCGAAGGGAAACCGUGAAACGUGCCGCCUGGGAAGUACGGUCGCAAAGGCUGAAACUUAAAGGAAUUGGCGGGGGAGCACCACAACAGGUGGAGCCUGCGGUUUAAUUGGACUCAACGCCGGGAAGCUCACCGGAUAGGACAGCAGAAUGAUUGCCGGGCUGAAGACCCUGCAUGACUAGCUG